AGACAUUUUAAUUGUUACAUUUCCAGUUUUAAUACAGAAAAAAAAACAGCGCUUAUCAGUCUACAAUAUUUUUACCUGAAUAUUUAGUACCCUACCACCGACAAAAGAGUAACAUGUUAAUUUCGAGUACUAGUACAGACAGUACAGUACCUACAAGCUACUAUUGAGCUAAAGUAGUCCGUAGCUCCAGUUUAGCUGUUCAGCAAAUUAGACAGCCCUAAAAAAAAUUAUAAACGUAGAUGAAGAUGAAUCAAAGAAUAACAAACAAAAACCACUAUCCAUCAUUUAAUGUGUUUUUCAACAACCAACAAUUAAUCUAGGUAGGUUUACCUACAUACAAUAUCAAAAUAUAUCCUUUAAUACAUAUUAUGCCUACCUACCUAUAAUAAAUGUGCAUAGUACUAGUACAUGCGUUUAAUCAUACUUAGAAUAUGUAUUUUAUUUUAUUACCUUUUUAAUUUUUCAAUUUAAGUAAUUUAACCUAUUUAAUUCAAUCAAAAUUAUUAAACUUGAUGUUUAUACAAAUUUAAGACGUGUUAUUUUAAAUAAAAAAUAUUUAUAAUUUAAACAUCAUAAGA